rnacentral:rRNA from 1 species
UACGUAGGGAGCAAGCGUUGUCCGGAUUUAUUGGGCGUAAAGAGCUCGUAGGCGGUCUGUCACGUCUGCCGUGAAAACCCGAGGCUUAACCUCGUGGCUUGCGGUGGAUACGGGCAGACUAGAGGUAGGUAGGGGAGAACGGAAUUCCCGGUGUAGCGGUGAAAUGCGCAGAUAUCGGGAGGAACACCGGUGGCGAAGGCGGUUCUCUGGGCCUUACCUGACGCUGAGGAGCGAAAGCAUGGGGAGCGAACAGG